CCCCCUGCGAUCUCCAGGACGGAGAAGGACUCAGGCCCACGGGUCCCCUCCAAGGAAGGAGACGCUGCUGGGGUUUAGAGACCUGGGGAAGAGCCCCGAACCCGAGAGGAUUUUUCACUGAUGUUGGAUGAUGACCUGGAACGAGGCCAAAGCUGGGAGGCGAGACCCGCGGUCAGACAAGGCCGGGGAACCGGCGGGAUUUCUGAGAGGAGGUCAAGUCGGAGCGCGUGUCCCUGCAAUGAUGGACUCGGGGGAAAGGGGCGACGCUGGCAGAGAUCGGAUGCCCCCGGUGACGAGCUGCGGGGGCAGGGGAAACGCAGAGGCGUGGUUGGACUGAUCUGAAGUGCCGCGAGCGGCCAGGUGGGUGAGGUGACGCUGUCGCUGGACCGUGUCCGUUGGUGGAAGAGAAGCAUUGGAGCUCCACAGAGCUUCUCCUCAGGUCUGGGAAGGUUCUGAGUGGAGCCGAAGCGUGAGAAAUUAACCCAUGUCGCCAGACACGCUUCCAGCUGAAGUGGGCCAUGACCGCCUUGCGCUCGUCGGAGAAUUCGUGGAUUACAGAUGGUUCCAGUGAGACCUGUAA